rnacentral:rRNA from 1 species
UGCCUACGGGGCGCAGCAGUAGGGAAUCUUCCACAAUGGGCGAAAGCCUGAUGGAGCAACGCCGCGUGGGUGAAGAAGUAUUUCGGUAUGUAAAGUCCUAUCAGCAGGGAAGAAGAAAUGACGGUACCUGACUAAGAAGCCCCGGCUAACUACGUGCCAGCAGCCGCGGUAAUACGUAGGGGGCAAGCGUUAUCCGGAUUUACUGGGUGUAAAGGGAGCGCAGGCGGCAGCGCAAGUCUGAUGUGAAAGCCCGGGGCCCAACCGCGGGACUGCAUUGGAAACUGCGCAGCUGGAGUGCCGGAGGG